GAUGAACGCUGGCGGCGUGCCUAAUACAUGCAAGUCGAGCGAACGGACGAGAAGCUUGCUUCUCUGAUGUUAGCGGCGGACGGGUGAGUAACACGUGGAUAACCUACCUAUAAGACUGGGAUAACUUCGGGAAACCGGAGCUAAUACCGGAUGAUAUUUUGAACCGCAUGGUUCAAAAGUGAAAGACGGUCUUGCUGUCACUUAUAGAUGGAUCCGCGCUGCAUUAGUUAGUUGGUAAGGUAACGGCUUACCAAGGCAACGAUGCAUAGCCGACCUGAGAGGGUGAUCGGCCACACUGGAACUGAGACACGGUCCAGACUCCUACGGGAGGCAGCAGUAGGGAAUCUUCCGCAAUGGGCGAAAGCCUGACGGAGCAACGCCGCGUGAGUGAUGAAGGUCUUCGGAUCGUAAAACUCUGUUAUUAGGGAAGAACAUAUGUGUAAGUAACUGUGCACAUCUUGACGGUACCUAAUCAGAAAGCCACGGCUAACUACGUA
rnacentral:rRNA from 1 species